CCUCGUGGGGCGCUCAGGUCCGCCGCAUCUCCUGGGUCCGCGAGGCACGGCCGGCCGGGGCGUGGUUCAUGGAGUGGCCUCCUCUGAUAAGCCGCGAUUGCCCGGCCGGCCACUU
rnacentral:sRNA from 1 species